AUGAAUCUCCUCUCCUAGAACUGUCGUGAGAUUGGCAACGCCUAGACAGUUCACGAGCUAUGCGAUUUCGCGAAAAAGUUUGCCCCUAGAGUCCUUUGCAUACUUGAAACUCAGAUUAGUGCAGAAAAAGCAGAAGCUCUAAAAAAUACUCUAGGUUAUGAUUGUUCCUUUGCUGUUAGCUCCUCUGGUAGGAGUGGAGGUCUUUGUUUGUUC
rnacentral:rRNA from 1 species